rnacentral:lncRNA from 1 species
GUUUUUCACAGCAGGAAUCCUGUGUUUGGAGUUCCAAAGUCCUUCCGAAUGUUAACACAAAGACCCUGGGGAAGGGGAUGUUCACCGUGUGCUUGGCUGUCUCUAAACUGGUGUUUACCAGGACCAUCAUGGAGCACGUAAUAUGCCCCUAAGGACCUAGGAAUGUCCCCAUGGAGUGAGACCCAGAGCAAGAAAGACUUAUGGAGUAGCAACCUCACCACCACUACAGCCUCAGCUUCCAGAGGGGACACAGAG